UAGAACCAUGCAAGUUAAUGCAAGGCAUCUAGAGAAACUAUGCAGAACAACAAGCUGCUAUAGUUUUAAUUACUAUCCUGCACCAAGUGCUAGCUUGUCAUGUGUCUAAUCAUGCAACAGCUACACAACAAAGUAUACACGUUUCUUGGACGUGCCAUGUAGAUACUUUAAACUAAAUGAUCGGGUACAAGCAUGCAAUAUUUUACCAGCUUAAUCACUUUCAUCUACCCCACAAUGUUUCCACAUGAACUAUAGUUGAAGAUAGUUAAAGACUAGCACAUAUUGAAUUCCAAACCUCGUUGUGUGGUUUUGGUAGCAAGGUGACCACUACUACACCAAGAA
rnacentral:lncRNA from 1 species